rnacentral:rRNA from 2 species
UGAACGCUAGCGGGAUGCCUUACACAUGCAAGUCGAACGGCAGCACGGACUUCGGUCUGGUGGCGAGUGGCGAACGGGUGAGUAAUGUAUCGGAACGUGCCCAGUAGCGGGGGAUAACUACGCGAAAGCGUAGCUAAUACCGCAUACGCCCUACGGGGGAAAGCAGGGGAUCGCAAGACCUUGCACUAUUGGAGCGGCCGAUAUCGGAUUAGCUAGUUGGUGGGGUAACGGCUCACCAAGGCGACGAUCCGUAGCUGGUUUGAGAGGACGACCAGCCACACUGGGACUGAGACACGGCCCAGACUCCUACGGGAGGCAGCAGUGGGGAAUUUUGGACAAUGGGGGAAACCCUGAUCCAGCCAUCCCGCGUGUGCGAUGAAGGCCUUCGGGUUGUAAAGCACUUUUGGCAGGAAAGAAACGUCAUGGGUUAAUACCCCGUGAAAC